UUGCCUUUGGAUGAGCCCGCGUCGGAUUAGCUAGUUGGUGAGGUAAAGGCUCACCAAGGCGACGAUCCGUAGCUGGUCUGAGAGGAUGAUCAGCCACACUGGGACUGAGACACGGCCCAG
rnacentral:rRNA from 1 species